GCGGUAUCAACAGUAAGGUGUUUUAGGAGUUUUUCUUGCAAAUGGAAAAAAAAAACUACUACUUAAACAUGUUGAAACCAAGUUCCCAGAUUUUCAUAAUCAGAACCGUAAUCCAGAACCAUAAUCCACCACAGAAACUCCAUUAACACGGCAAGGAUGGAAAACAUUAAGACGUGUCUGGACGUUGAGCACAUUGCAUUGAACAAGCAUGGACAAGUUGUCAUCGGUAAAAUGUAUUUAUACCAUUGGAUUUUAAACAUGUCUGUUUUUUGUUUUUUUUACUUUUAUUUUACCUAUUAUCUUGGAUUGAUUUUUUUCAGGUACAACUAAUGAAAACAUCCGGUUGACUGAGUGCUAAGAAAUGCAAAUAUAUCUUUAUAGUUCAUAAGAUUUCAGUUUCUUACUGAUUAGUCAAUUUUCCACUGUGCAGUGAGUGCAUUUGCAGCAAAUCUGGAAGAGGGUAACAUGUACACGAGUGGACAUCACCCUGCAGGGUUUCAUGGACACUACAGGGACAUCUCCUUCAAAACCAAAGUGUGUGUGUGUGUGUGUGUGUGUGUGUGUGUGAUCAAUGACUUCACAUAACAUUUGUUUUUUUAUAUCAACUACGUCCUGGAUGUGAGUAAACCAGCCAGGGAGCUGAUAGUUAAAGAGGGAUCAGUUUGCCUUAUCCAGGAGAAUUUUUUGUUUUGGUCUGCAAAGGAACAUGCAUUUAUUUGUGAGUACCAUUCUUAUGUAAUUGUUUAAUGUUAUGAGAAUGUAACAAGAAUGUUUAUUUAUUUUAUUUUUUUACUUAAACAACUUUUAAAAAGGUGGGACAUACCUGUUUGGAUGGCACAAAAUCAGACGGCGCAGUGCUUCUUGAUUCUACAUCAGAACACUGACUUAUUAUCGGCCAGCUCCUGCAUCAGCAUUACACGCAUGCUUCGUGGGGCUCAUGUGAACUGUGUAGUUAUGGUCGAAGAUUUACACAUUGGACAGAGGGGAGACCAACCUUGAAGGGAAAUGUCACGUCGGUCUUCCGGAUACCAAGGUAGAGGAAGUAUCCAGUCUCCACAGGAAGAGGUGUGGCCAGAAAGAAGUUUGCUGUUCCUCUUUUAUAGACAUACCCUAAAAAGGGCUUCUAUGAAGUCAUAAUAGACCACAUUUUUCAAUAAUUUGUGUCUUGCACAUUUCCACAGAAGAAUCACAAACCAGUCAAGACAUUCCAGGCAAGAAAGAAGGAACACAAUGGAAUGGGCACAGCUGAUACAACUUCGUACUGAUGUAGUUACCAUCAUGUCAUCACUGUGUAUGAACUGUGCUGAACACAGAUUUUUAGAAGAAAAUUUCAGCUUUGUGAGGAGUGCAUUGUCAUGAUUUAUAUUGAAAAAGGAUAGUUCCAUCCGUUUUCUUUAAAAGUUAGUUGGAUCGCAUUGAUUAAAGUACUGGAAUUAUAUGAAUUAUUUAUUUAUUUUUUUCAUAUUACAACUUUAAGCUUUUAUGAUCAUCAUGUGAUCAGUAAAACCUGGCUUUUUUAACAGUAGUUUGAAUAACAUAAGCUGAAGCAUUGAGAAAAAUAAAACAUGUUGAAAUGCAUUUUUUUAUUUUUUUAAUACUUUUUUUAAAUUACAAACAUAGAGAAAUGAACAACUGCAAAAAUAUGUAUUUGAUUUUGCUUUAAAUGUCCAUUGAAGUGUACAACCGUGGCAUCUACAGUACACUUCUCCAAUGUAGUGUAGAUGGAAGAGAUGUGUUUUUAGCCGUUUCUUGAAGAUGGACUCAGCUGCUGGGAUUGAGUUGGGCAGGUCAGUCCACCAGGAGGGAACAGUUAAUGUAAAAGUCAGUGAAAGUGAUUUUGUG
ensembl:lncRNA